rnacentral:lncRNA from 1 species
GAGGAACUGAGAUUGAAAUAGGACUUAAAAAUGGGAAGAACUUGAUGAGUGAUAGAUCUGAAAAUAAGCACUCUAAGGAAUAGUUUUGGGAUAAGGGUUACAGGGAGAUGAAACCGAGGGAAGAAACUGACAUUGGAGGAUAAUGGGUGGUAUAUAAAAUUGGCAGGUGUUAGUCAUACCCUUGCAAAAUUAAAAAAAAAUAUAUGAAGUUUAUAGUCUAGGGUACACUAUUUAAACAGAUGUUUGGUGGCAUCUACAUCAGAAAAAGCCUUUGGUAACUAGGCAUUAGUGUCAUUGUUUGACAGAUUUCUAGCAGGGAUGGAAAUAUGGAGAAAAUAUAAUGUCUUGUGGCCCCAAGGAUACACUUCUCCAGUCUCUAUCUGCAUGGAGGACAACUGACCUAGAGCUCUAGCUGCUGUGUUCAUCUUUCCCACAGGCUGCUGCUACACAGAGGAGUCCUCCGCCACGUGACUCUGGCUCAAGGUCUUCUCAAAGGACUCCUUGCAACCAUGCCGAGCUUUCCUGAGAACUGUACUGUUGUGUCAAAGCUUCGACCUACACUUGUCUUUUCUUCCUUCUCUCCUUUACUCGGGGUCAGACCUGCAUCUCGGUCUCCCCAGAACCCCGGAGCGCCAACUCUAGUUCUGGGCCUGGUUUCAUUUCCGCUGCAGCAAGGUGAAAGAAACCACCACGAACCAAGAGAAACUUGUCAAACUGCUCAAGUGCACGUUGCUCGCCCAAAGAGGAGGGUGGUCCAUAGAAUGGCGCCAGGAGAUGAUAAAAAAACCUCAGUUCUUAAAGGAGUUAGGGGUAAGCUGUAUCUGUGAUACUGAAGACGUAUGUUCACACACUAAGGAACAGUGAUCCACUUUAACAAGCCUCAAGUGCAGGCAUUCUUGGCAGCGAACACUUUCACCAUCCCAGGCCAGGCUAAGACAAAGCUGCUGACAGAAAUGCUACCCGGUAUGUUAAAACAUCUUGGUGCAGACAGCCUGAGCAGCUUAAGAAGAUCCGUUAAAACUCUGCCCACACAAUCUGUGGAUGGAGGAGAACCACUUGCUACUGGAGAGGAGGAGGAGGGUAAAGUUCCAGAUCUUGUAGAGAAUUUUGAGGAAGCUUCCAAGAAUGAAGCAAAUUUAAUUGAGUCAACUUCUGAAGACGAUAAAAGUCAAAGAAGUUACUGGGAGCUGCUACUGUGUAUUAGGACUGUUUUUUUAAAAAAAUUCUGUUCAUGUCUCUGAGAAAAUCCAGAUUUCUAAUAUUUCUGAGCCCAAGCCCCUUGGACACUGCAACUCUUUUCAGUGUUUGCUUAGACACAAUUUGUUCUUUGAAGCUAAUUAAGCUGAAGAAGCCUGGGAAUAACGGUUGAAACAAGGUUAAUGAAAAAGAGAAAAAACAAACAAACAAAACCAACCCAAAACAAAGAACUGUGAUACAAAUCUGAGUCCUUCCACACGACACACAUCACACUAAUAAAUAAUAUUUUUUGAUACUGCUGUGGUUAUGUGACCUAGAAAUUGCCUAAAUGCAUCAUGUUCAUAUUUUCUAUUGUCUUUAAAAAAGAUAUCAUGAGAAACAUCUCUAAGAGAUUGCUGAAAUCUAUGUAUAUUAGAUAAGAGCAUUUUCCUCAACUGCCAGUUUAAGAAAAUUUAUAUCAAAGAAAGAAAUGAAAUUAUUGUAACAUGGUUGGGCUAGUGACAUUAUGAAGACUCCCUGUGAUAAGAACUAGCCCAGUCUUUGCCAUGGACAGGCCAGGGUCUCAAGCAGGAUCUGAAAACCUUUAAGGUCAACUUGACUCAGUCCAGUGUAUGAACCAGUUCAUAUCACGGUGCCUUCUCAGAAGUUGCAGUAGGAGAUGGUCCAAAAUCAAACAAAACCCCCAAAAGAUAAGAUAGAUCUCUUAAGUCUAUUAAUCAUUCCUGUCUUUUCUCAAGGAAAAUAUUUAACAUCAAAUUUUUGACUUUGGGUAAAAUGUGAUUCUUCUGCAUAGAAUACUAAAAAAUCCCUUCUUGGUUCGGUUCUGAGUAUUGUUUCAGUAUUUGUCCAUUUUCAUCAUUUGAACCUCUUCUAAUUCCCAUGACUUCUCACUAAUUCUUGGCCUGAUUUAGCUUUUAACUCUCUUAUCAGAUAUGUAUCUUCAUUCAAUAAAUGAGGGAUUUAUUUGCUAAUGACAGGAAACAAAAUUCAGUCUAUAAAAAAAGAUGAAAAAUCCACCUGUUCUUCCAUGGACCUCCCUUAUUUUCCUAAUAAUGACACUAUACACAUUUUUAACUUGAAGCCUAUGUUUUAUUAAUGAUUUUUUUUUUGUAAAUGAAUAAUCACAUGUAGACACCAUAAAGCAGAUUUUAUCAGUUUGUUAGACUUGCCCUUAUUUUUAAGAUACAACCUUAAGAGGGCACCUGGGUGGCUCAGUGGGUUGUUACAGCAUCGGCCUUCGGCUUAGGUCAUGAUCUCAGGGUCCUGGGAUCAAGCCCCUCAUCAAGCCCCUCAUCAAGCCCCUCAUCAAGCCCCUCAUCGAGCCCCUCAUCGAGCCCUGCAUUGAGCCUCGCAUCGAGCCUCACACAGGACUCUCUACUUAGCAGAGACCCUGCUUCCUCUUCUCUCUCUUUCUCUCUGCCUGCCUCUCUCCCCACUUGUGAUCUCUGUCUGACAAAUAAAUAAAUAAAUAAAAUCUUUAAAAGAAUAAAAAAGACACAACCUUAAGGAAAUCAAAUUUUCUAUGUUUUCUUAACAGCUGACAUUAUGGUCACUUUCAAGUGUCAGAGUUUGUACCCGUGAUCUUCAAAUAUAACAAGGCUAUCAUACGUUCAGACAGGAUCUCUUUGAGAAAUUAAGUGCAUCAUCUGUCAGUAUAAUCAGUAUUUUCAGUGGUUUUAUUCUCAACUUCUAAACACUACUCAAAUUGUCUUAGAAAUUUCAAAAGUUUAACACAGUCUUUGGAUUUGCUCCUAAAUAGUUGUAUGUAUGCAUGAUUAAUCAGAAUACGAUGUAAUAGAGUAAAAGCCUUGGAUUCAAUGGUAGUAUGGCUUAGUUAUUUUUUUCUUUGUUUUGUGGCCAUCUGUUUCUUAUUAUUGUAAAAAAAUGACAAGAAAGAAUGAAGGGGAUAAUAUCAAUUGGUUAGGGAAAAAAUCCCACAUUAAUGUUGUGCAAAAUUUUUUUUAAAGGAUGUUCUUCUGAGAAUGAUGUGCAGAAUAUUAAAAAAAUAAAUAAAAUAUAGCAUUUAUGAAAUGAUUUCUAUACUAAAGAUCAUACUGUUAUUAUAUAUACUUUUCACUUACAUUUAUG